CCUCCGGGGGGCAGCAGUGGGGGAUAUUGCCCAAUGGGGAAAACCCUGAUGCCGCGCCUCCUCUUUCUUGCCUCCUUCUUUCGGUAUGUAAAGCUCUAUCGGCAGGGAAGAAAAAAAUGACAGUACCUGACUAAGAAGCCCCGGCUAACUACGUGCCAGCAGCCGCGGUAAUACGUAGGGGGCAAGCGUUAUCCGGAUUUACUGGGUGUAAAGGGAGCGUAGACGGAGGAGCAAGUCUGAUGUGAAAAUCCGGGGCCCAACCCCGGAACU
rnacentral:rRNA from 1 species